UGCCCAGCAACUCCUAUCCCUACCUCCACGCGGUACCGGCCGGAAACUAUGAGCAACCUUAGAGAAGAUCGGGUAACCAACCCCGGUGGGAACUUUGGUCGUAGGCUGACAGGGAAGG
rnacentral:ribozyme from 1 species